CUUGAUCUACCAUUCUCAUUUGCACCCUCCCACCGCAGAGCUUAGAGGAACCUUCCCCACUCUUCAGGUCUACCACUCUUCAACAGACCUUCUGAAUUACAGCCCAUCCUAUAUUGUGGCAGAGGCUACAAAAAUAAUCAAAUAACAAGAUAUCAUGUCAAUUUUACUUCCGUACUGUAAAUUUUAAGGAACAGAAUGCACCUUCAGAACACAGAGAUAAAUGCCAGCUACGUACAAACCAGGAGCUUGUCCCCAGAAGCUUGAUUUUGAACUUCACUCUCCA